rnacentral:lncRNA from 1 species
UGCCUGCUUUCCUGGUGACAUUUCAGUAUGGUGCAACCCUUUUGGGGGAGGGCAGGCUCACUGUGUGUUGAUAGCCUGACGACAUCAGUGAAAACACGACUUGAUUUUGUGUAGAACAGACUCUAUGCAUUUGUGAAGCGUGUUCUAAUUCUGGCUCAGCUGGUAGGAAGUAAGCACAUACUAUGUUUAUAUAUUAUAUAGAUAUAUAGUAUAUAUAUACCAUGUUUAUAUAUAUAUGUUAAUUUGUUGAUCUUCCUAAUAAACUCUCCACUUUAUGGAUGAAAAACUGAGUUCUCAGAGAUGAGCCAGAUCCCCGACUCCGCACGCAGCUUGUUCCGCUGGACCACAGCUCCACGUUCUGCUGAAUUUGAUGGGACCCGUGAAACCUAGGAUUUGCAGACCACGAAGCUGUCCAUCUGCCUCUCCCCUCGAUUGCUCAUCUCUGGGCCUGUGAACAGUUGGUCGGACUUCUCCAGCUUCUAGCUGCGUUGCUUUCUACCUUGGCCCUGGCACUUCGAGUGUCUCUGAAGGUCAAUCCCAAAACUUUAUUCUCUCCCUCGUCUCUCCCUCAGCCUUUGCUCCCUCAUCCUCUCUUAGAACUCAGACUUGGAAGUUCACCUGCCUCUUCUUGCAAACUCCAUCUGUCCUGCCCAGCACAGCCAGGUAAGGCCUGUUAUAAGACUAAGCUCAGAUCACCAUACAUACCUGCCAAAAGCAGGGGCCUGGUGCCCUCCCACAACCUACCAAAUAAGAAACGUCUUCCCUUUCAGCACUCCGUAACAGAACCUCUGUCUGCCCAAAGCCUCGUUCCCACGGUUCCUUUGUACAUAGCCCGCGCUCACACUCCAGCCGGGCGUCUUGCUGUACACAGUGUGAUCCUUGACGUAAUAGGUGCUAAGUAAAUGCUUGUUGAUUAUGUGGACGAGUGCUUGCACCAGGAGGUGCGCAGCAAAUAUCUGUUGAAACUGAUUUCCCAAUGAUCCCCACUCUCCUUCUGCAGCAUCUAUACUCCAGGUUUGCAUUCUAGUUGCCUUCAAGAAUGUAUCCGGUAAUGUCAUACCUUUACCCGAAACACAGCACAUCAAAACCUGGACCACCUGUUCCCCUAACUGCCCACCCC